rnacentral:lncRNA from 1 species
UGGCUAUCCAAGCUACGUUUUUGAUAUGUUUGCGUCGUCGCCAACCUCCAGAAACUUGAUGCCGACACUUUGGCACUUCUACGUUAAGAUUUACGGUAAACCAUAUGGGCCGGCAACCUGUUGCGCGUGAACGGUUUUCUCGUUUAUUCGGAUUAGCUUGAAUUUGAAAUCAGACGGAAGUGUGACAACUCAACAAAACGGUCACCAGUUUCUAUUUUCAUGGAAUGGAAUAUCGCCAAGGGAUCUAAUGUGUUUAGCCGGCAAACAUAGGAAGGUGAAAGUGAUUCACGGAAACAGUAUCCUUCAUAAAACUCGUAUUCAAGUGACGACGUAUUAUCGACAGGAAGAAAAAGGCCCAAAAAUGGUUCCGUAACUUUCGUUCGGGAAAUUCGGGAAGGUGCUCCUCGUAGUAGUCGACCGUUUGGGGUGUCACACGAAUUUACACAACAAAAAUCAUUUUCAUCGGCAAAAUUCCGCGAAAAGGCAAGGAGAUCGAGCUAUAUGCUCUCAAGCCGUUGAUUACGGCUGAUAAAAAGUGGGUCGCAUAGGGCAAUAAUGUGCAAUAAGAAAAAUGUCUUUCCCAAUCUGUAGCAAAAGCCAGACUAAUUUCAACGAAGAUAAUGCUAUAUGUCCGGUGGAACCGAAAAGAAAUCGUGUAUUAUGAGUUGCUGCGGCUCAGCGAAACGAUUGAUUCGAACUUCUAGCACCAAUAACUAACAAAAUUACAAUA